AAGGAUCAUUAUUGAAUGAACUUGGUGUGGUUGUUGCUGGCCCUCUCGGGGGCAUGUGCACACCCACCAUCCUCAUCUCUCCACCUGUGCACCUCUUGUAGACCUGGAUAGACUUUCCGAGGCAACUCGGUCGGGAAGAUUGCUGCGCUCUGUGAGCCAGCUUUCUUUGCAUGUCCAGGCCUAUGUUUUUUCAUAUACCCCUAUAGAAUGUAACAGAAUGUAUCAUUGGGCCUUGUGCCUAUAAACCUUAUACAACUUUCAGCAACGGAUCUCUUGGCUCUCGCAUCGAUGAAGAACGCAGCGAAAUGCGAUAAGUAAUGUGAAUUGCAGAAUUCAGUGAAUCAUCGAAUCUUUGAACGCACCUUGCGCUCCUUGGUAUUCCGAGGAGCAUGCCUGUUUGAGUGUCAUUAAAUUCUCAACCUUAUUAGCUUUUGUUGAUAAUGGAUUGGAUGUGGGGGUUUCUUUUGCUGGCUUCUUCACAGAUAUCAGCUCCCCUUAAAUGCAUUAGCUGGUGCCCCGCGUGGACCAUCUAUUGGUGUGAUAAUUAUCUACGCCGUGGAUGUCUGCAAUCAUAUGGGUUUUGCACUGCUUCUAACCGUCUGUUCAUUCGGACAACACAUGACAAUUUGACCUCAAAUCAGGUAGGACUACCCGCUGAACUUAAGCAUAUCAAUAAGCGGAGGAAAAGAAACUAACAAGGAUUCCCCUAGUAACUGCGAGUGAAGCGGGAAAAGCUCAAAUUUAAAAUCUGGCGGUCUCCGGCCGUCCGAGUUGUAAUCUAGAGAAGUGUUAUCCGCGCUGGACCGUGUACAAGUCUCCUGGAAUGGAGCGUCAUAGAGGGUGAGAAUCCCGUCUUUGACACGGACUGCCAGGGCUUUGUGAUGCGCUCUCAAAGAGUCGAGUUGUUUGGGAAUGCAGCUCAAAUGGGUGGUAAAUUCCAUCUAAAGCUAAAUAUUGGCGAGAGACCGAUAGCGA
rnacentral:sRNA from 1 species